rnacentral:rRNA from 1 species
CGCUAUUUAGGUUAGAGUUUGAUCAUGGCUCAGAACGAACGCUGGCGGCAGGCUUAACACAUGCAAGUCGAACGCUCGUAGCAAUACGGGAGUGGCGGACGGGUGAGUAACGCGUGGGAACGUGCCCUGAGGUACGGAAUAACUGCGGGAAACUGCAGCUAAUACCGUAUGAGCCCGAGCAAUCGGGGAAAGAUUUAUCGCCUUAGGAGCGGCCCGCGUCGGAUUAGCUAGUUGGUGGGGUAACGGCCUACCAAGGCUUCGAUCCGUAGCUGGUCUGAGAGGACGAUCAGCCACAUUGGGACUGAGACCGCCC